GGAGACAGGAGAAGGGACAGGAUAAAUGAUAGAGUGGACACUAUCAUUUAUCCUGUCCCUUCUCCUGUCUCCCUUCCUUCUUG